rnacentral:lncRNA from 1 species
UCAUGUAUAACUUUUAUGUAUAGGAUAAAAAUGUAGUUUUAGCUUUUCCACAAUUAUUAAUGUGAAUAAAGUCGAAGUAUUAAACUGUUAAUAAAUAACCAAAAAAAUUAAAAAUAGAAAAGCAAACAGCCAAGGUGUUAAUAAAGCUUGGGGCCUGACUGUUUGUUUUUAUAGUUUGUUUCUUUUUCUUUUUUUUUUUUCUUUUUUUU